AAGUCGUAACAAGGUUUCCGUAGGUGAACCUGCGGAAGGAUCAUUAACACAUUUUGAUUCAAACUAUUUGUUUUUUCUUUUGGAUGUAAGAUUUCUUGCAUCCAGAGGAGAAAGCAAUUAACCCCCUUUCUAUGAUGAAACAUACAAAACGGGAAAAUGGAACAGUCAAGUUCUUAAAUUUGACUUUCCGUUUCAACCGUUUUUUCCCUAUAUCAUUUUUUUUCAAACCCCUUUUACAAUAUGUCAUAGACUGAAACAAAACCUUUGCAUUCUAGAUCUCUAGAAUCUUAAAAAACUAAGAAAACAACUCUUAGCAACGGAUAUCUAGGUUCUC
rnacentral:misc_RNA from 1 species